UCGUGACCCUGACCAAAACAGACCGCGCACGUGUCAUCCAUCCCACCGGUGGCGGCAUCGUCCUUCGCUCGGCCAAGUCCUCGUCCACCUAGCCCCCUCGGAGGCGGUGCACGGGGCAAAAGAACCGACGGCGCUGACGGCGUCAAGGAACACUGUGCCUAAUCCGGGGACGCAGCUCGCCUGCUUGCUGCCCCCCGUUUUGCAAUGCCAUUCGAUCGACACGACUCUCGGCAACGGAUAUCUCGGCUCUCGCAUCGAUGAAGAACGUAGCGAAAUGCGAUACCUGGUGUGAAUUGCAGAAUCCCGCGAACCAUCGAGUCUUUGAACGCAAGUUGCGCCCGAGGCCACCCGGUCGAGGGCACGCCUGCCUGGGCGUCACGCCAAAACACGCUCCCACCCUUCCUCGUGGGGAGCAGGACGCGGCAUAUGGCUCCUCGUGCCCCUAGGCGCGGUGGGCCGAAGAUCGGGCUGCCGGCAUAUCUAUCGUGCCGGGCGCAGCGCGUGGUGGGCGAUCUCGCUUUACUCAGCGCAGCGCUGCAGGUGCGUAGCCGGCGCAAUGGCCUCAAAGGACCCCAAAGAACGGAGUGCGCGUCGCUCCGACC
rnacentral:precursor_RNA from 1 species